CAACUACUCCCUCUGUCCCAAAUUUCUUGUCUUAGAUUUGUCUAGAUACAGAUGUAUCUAAUACUAAAAUGUGACUUGAUACAUCCGUAUCUAGACAAAUCUAAGACAAGAAUUUUUGGAUGGAGCGAGUACUUU
rfam:Triticum aestivum genome assembly, contig: Triticum_aestivum_CS42_TGACv1_scaffold_179103_2DS